GUGUUCACUGCAAAUCGUUCCAAUUGUCUCCCUAAGUCCCCAUAGACAACAUACAAGUUGUUUUCUUUCUUUCUUUGUACUGUAUGUACUUUAUUUCUCCAUUUUCCAUAGGCUCUCUCAGAAGUGUUGGUGCUCUUGCUCUCAACGGUGUGCUUAACUACAGACUUUCACCAAUGGACGAACUGACAAGCAGAAGUUGUUCGAGUUGUUCCCUGAAGACUUUAGUUGCACUAUAGCCAAUCUGGUUUCCGGAAUUAAUGUCUGAUUACUGCGUCUAACUACUCUGGCUUUACGAGCAUGCUUUAUAGCUACAAGAAGCAAAGCUGAAAAAGAUGCAGUAGCCCUUGUUGUGGAUUGGUUAUAGAAAGAACACCAUUGUUAUGACAUUUUUUGCAUAUUUUGUUAAAAAGAACCAUAUCAUACAUAUGUGUAUGGGAAACUCUCUUCAUUAUGAUUAACUAUGAUUUUGGUAUGGGCAACUGUAUUAUGCACCUAAAAGUCUGCCAAGACAACUCAAAGCAUCUGAAUUUAUUUUUUUAGUGCAAAUACCAGUUUGUACUCAUGGAAGUUAUGUAAUUGCUAUUUUCGCUCA